rfam:Homo sapiens chromosome 13, GRCh38 reference primary assembly.
GCCAGGUGUGGUAGUGCAUACCUGUAGUCCCAGCUACUCGAGAGGCUGAGGUAGGAGAAUCGCUUGAGCCCGGGAGGUCGAGGCUGCAGUGAGCGGUGGUCACACCACUGCACUCCAGCCUGGGUGACAGAGCGAGACCCUGUCUCAA